GACCGGAACCGGUUCUUACCGGACCGGAUCAACCGGAUAAAAAUCCGGGUUCUGUUUCGGUACCGGUUCCGGUACCUAUAAGACCGGUUCCUUACCGGUUCAACCGGUACCGGUCUUACCGGUACGGGAACCGAACCGGAACCGGACCGGACCAGACAAAAACCGGUCCAUUUGCCAGCCUUAACUGGAACUACCGUAGUUGGCACAAAUAAAAAGAAGUGGGUAUGUUUGAAAAAACUACAAGAUCUUUCUUUUCUUUCAAAAGGAGGAAAAUUUCAUGUAUAUAAUUACUGUUUUUGCAUCAAUUCCUUAAUAUGUUUAUUUUUUAGAAAAAAUCAAUUAGUCAUUUUUGAUAUCCCCACCAACUCAAUAUGAGGCUACUAUGAUUUUGAUGUAGUAUUCCUAGAGAGUUGGCAAAGAAAGACCAUACCUUAUUGGCAUAUAUGCUUUCCAUAAAAAGAUUAGGAGUGGGGAAACAUGUGCAGUUUGGAGUCUGAUGUUGAAAACUAGGACUGGAUAUUUGUUGUUGAAAUCCAUUAUUAACGUUAUUCUUUUGAUACUUCACAAUGGUAUCAUCUGGGGGACUCUCUUGGUUAUGAUCCUCCAAUCUAAAAAGGAAGUCUUUUGUGAGUGUCAUUGAUGUUUUUCCUAUUCGGAUAUGGUUGAUGUAGUGCUGGAUUUGUAGGAACAAAAAUUUUGUAGCAUCUCAUUGUUCCACCUAUUUAUCCUUGACCUGAAUGUUAUCCAAAGUUUGACUACUAGGAAGCCAGGGGACCACUACUAGUCCAGUUGUCCGACCAGAAAGGCUUAAUUCUCUAGAUCAUAUAUUGUUCUAGUUAAUGGGCAUCUAAUUUCUAUUAUUAUAUAGUUCUAAAUUUUCUUAUGUGCAUUUCUUGUGCAGAAUUUUUAAGGAAAUUGAGGUCAAGUAUCGACUUCAACAUGUUCGACUUUUGGAUUGAUGAUUUCAUAAAGAUUUAUUGCAAAUUUACUGGAGAUUUUAAUUCCAUUUGAAUUAGGAGUUAGUUGGUUUGAUGUUGAGAUUAUUACAUUUAGUUGGAUCUCAAUUUUACUUGAGAUAAAAAAGAUAAUCUGUUUUGACAAUGUUUAGUUUUACAGAAAACUUAUUAUAUUGCUAUUUUGUUCUUUGAUUAUAAUAUUAAAAAAUAUUUGCUU
rnacentral:lncRNA from 1 species